rnacentral:rRNA from 1 species
GACGAACGCUGGCGGCGUGCUUAACACAUGCCAGUCGAACGGAAAGGCCCUGCUUUUGUGGGGUGCUCGAGUGGCGAACGGGUGAGUAACACGUGAGUAACCUGUCCUUGACUUUGGGAUAACUUCAGGAAACUGGGGCUAAUACCGGAUAGGAGCUCCUGCUGCAUGGUGGGGGUUGGAAAGUUUCGGCGGUUGGGGAUGGACUCGCGGCUUAUCAGCUUGUUGGUGGGGUAGUGGCUUACCAAGGCUUUGACGGGUAGCCGGCCUGGGAGGGUGACCGGCCACAUUGGGACUGAGGUACGGCCCAGACUCCUACGGGAGGCAGCGGUGGAGAAUAUUGCACAAUGGGCGGAAGCCUGAUGCAGCAACGCCGCGUGCGGGAUGACGGCCUUCGGGUUGUAAACCGCUUUCGCCUGUGACGAAGCGUGAGUGACGGUAAUGGGUAAAGAAGCACCGGCUAACUACGUG